UAAUACAGAGGGUGCAAGCGUUAAUCGGAAUUACUGGGCGUAAAGGGAGCGUAGGUGGCUCGAUAAGUCAGAUGUGAAAUCCCCGGGCUCAACCUGGGAACUGCAUCUGAUACUGUUGAGCUAGAGUAUGUGAGAGGAAGGUAGAAUUCCAGGUGUAGCGGUGAAAUGCGUAGAGAUCUGGAGGAAUACCGAUGGCGAAGGCAGCCUUCUGGCAUAAUACUGACACUGAGGCUCGAAAGCGUGGGUAGCAAACAGGAUUAGAUACCCUGGUAGUCCACGCCGUAAACGAUGUCUACUAGUCGUUGGGUCCCUUGAGGACUUAGUGACGCAGCUAACGCAAUAAGUAGACCGCCUGGGGAGUACGGCCGCAAGGUUA
rnacentral:rRNA from 1 species